UUGAGUGAAAUUUACCAGCAAAGUUCCUUUAAAUCUGAUGGAUUCUACAGAUUAAAUUAGAGGCUUUAUGUUAUGAUUGCAUCUGCUGAAGACUUUUUGUUGAUGUCAGAAGCUCCUCCUCUGGUCACAGUUUUGCUUUCAUUUAGUUUCUGCUUUCGGUUUAAAGCUUCUUCGCUGUAAACUCUCAUAAAAAACAUAUUUUAACCAGGAGAUGGAUCCUUUUCAUUGUUGGUUCCUCUGGAGGUCAGACCACCAGGAUCAUUUUAAAGGUUUCUUUAAUUAUGGAGUUUAUAUUUCAGUUAAUGAGGACAGUGGAGCUGGAAUCCGGUUGAACAGGUUUAGAUAUAAAUACAAACUGGAUGAUGAUGAUGAUGAUGGAUUUCCAAAGAAAUUCCAGAAUUGAACUUCCCAUAAAUCCGACUAUUUACUGUAACUGAACAUCUUUCUCCUCUCUGCGGUUUGGAUCAUUUAUUUUAGUGAUCAGGUCCAAAAUGUAUUUUCUCUUUCCACAGAUUCUCAAUCAGAUCAAAUAAAAUGUCUUUAAAUCUU